UACGGAGGGUGCUAGCGUUGUUCGGAAUCACUGGGCGUAAAGCGCGUGUAGGCGGCCCAUUAAGUCUGAUGUGAAAGCCCGGGGCUCACCCCCGGAAGUGCAUUGGAGACUGAUGGGCUGGAGUCCCGGAGAGGAGGGUGGAAUUCCUGGUGUAGCGGUGAAAUGCGUAGAUAUCAGGAGGAACACCGGUGGCGAAGGCGGCUUUCUGGACGGUAACUGACGCUGAGGCGCGAAAGCUAGGGGAGCAAACAGG
rnacentral:rRNA from 1 species